CAACCACAGCCUCAAAAAUUAUCACAGCCACAACUACCUACGCAGUCACCAGCUCCCGCUACCUCACCUGUAACGGAAAAUGCAAGUACAGCGGAGUGCGUCCCCUCCACGCAGGAGCUAUUAGAAGGGCUUGGCAUUAGGAGACUAGAGCUCGAUAAGAGUGAGAGCGAUCUUAGGCUGUCCGACUUAGACGAGCCAAAGAGAUGAACCACGGCGCCUGGCAGUAGCCCAGGUCAACCUGCACCAUGUGGGGGCUGCUUCGUAGUCAUCGCUAGCAGGUUUGCCACGGAAGACCUGGGCAUCCUACUGAUACAUGAGCCGUGGACCUACAAAGGCCAGGUAAGGGGCCUAAACCACAGCAACAAUAAGUUCUUAACACAAGAUAUGGUAGCGGUACAGGCGACGCUGAGAGUCGGU